rnacentral:rRNA from 1 species
GCUCCGCCGAGUUGGCACGGGGACCACAAGGUGGUCAGGAUGAUUAUUGGGCCUAAAGCAUCCGUAGCUCGUUUUGUAAGUUUUCGGUUAAAUCCAUGCGCUUAACGUAUGGGCUGCCGGGAAUACUGCAUAACUAGGAAGUGGGAGAGGUAGACGGUACUCGGUAGGAAGGGGUAAAAUCCUUUGAUCUAUUGAUGACCACCUGUGGCGAAGGCGGUCUACCAGAAUACGUUCGACGGUGAGGGAUGAAAGCUGGGGGAGCAAACCGGAUUAAAUACCCGGGUAGUCCCAGCUGUAAACUAUGCAAACUCACUGAUGCAUUGGCUUAUGGCCAAUGCAGUGCUGCAGGGAAGCCGUUAAGUUUGCCGCCUGGGAAGUACGUACACAAGUAUGAAACUUAAAGGAAUUGGCGGGGGAGCACAAGG